UACGGAGGGGGCUAGCGUUGUUCGGAAUUACUGGGCGUAAAGCGCACGUAGGCGGAUUGCUAAGUCAGGGGUGAAAUCCUGGAGCUCAACUCCAGAACUGCCUUUGAUACUGGCGAUCUCGAGUCCGGGAGAGGUGAGUGGAAACUGCGAGUGUAGAGGUGAAAUUCGUAGAUAUUCGCAAGAACACCAGUGGCGAAGGCGGCUCACUGGCCCGGUAC
rnacentral:rRNA from 1 species